GACGAACGCUGGCGGCGUGCCUAAUACAUGCAAGUCGAACGCAGUGGGGACGGGUGAGUAACACGUGGGUAACCUCCCAUCAGAGGGGAUAACACUUGGAAACAGGCUCUAAACCGAUACUGAUGGAUGGACCCGCGGUGCAUUAGCUAGUGGGUGGGGUAACGGCUCACCAAGGCUACGAUUCAUAGCCGACCUGAGAGGGGGAUCGGCCACACUGGGACUGAGACACGGCCCAGACUCCUACGGGAGGCAGCAGUAGGGAAUCUUCGGCAAUGGACGAAAGUCUGACGGAGCAACGACGCGUGAGUGAAGAAGGUUUUCGGGUCGUAAAACUCUGUGGUUGGAGAAGCGGUAUCUAACCAGAAGGCAACGGCUAACUACGUGCCAGCCGCCGCGGUAAUAC
rnacentral:rRNA from 1 species